UACGAAGGGGGCGAGCGUUGUUCGGAAUUACUGGGCGUAAAGGGCGCGUAGGCGGCGAUCCUAGUCAGAUGUGAAAGUCCUGGGCUUAACCUGGGGACUGCAUUUGAUACUGGAUUGCUUGAAUUCGGGAGAGGAUAGCGGAAUUCCCAGUGUAGAGGUGAAAUUCGUAGAUAUUGGGAAGGAACACCGGUGGCGAAGGCGGCUAUCUGGACCGA
rnacentral:rRNA from 1 species